GAAGUUAAUGGACGCUGUUAAUUGACUGACUUGCGUGAAUUCUUGGCGAUGACCAUGUAGAUGCAUCCGAUGAUCAGGAUCAUCACGAUCAGAGCAACAAAACUACAGGUAAUGUACAACAAGAGUUUAGUGUUUGUGUCGUUAUUAGUCGUCGAAAUUGUUGUAGUUGGAGUAGUUGUCGUCAGGGCUUCAGUGGUCGGAACUUCAGUCGUUGGGGUUUCUUUCGUUGGCAUUUCAGUGCCAUGAGAUCAUCAAUCAUCUAUCAAUAAUUGAAUAAUGCGGAAUAGUGCUACUAAUCGCACACGCUACACUUUUAUUGUUGAUGUUGGACAGGUGCUAAUUUCCGUCACUGUUGAUUCCGACUUGGCCUUCGUGUUGGCCGCUGCCUUCGGUCCCAUUUCCAUCGUGCUGUAAGCUGAACUUCUUCUUUCCUUGCGUUUUUUUCCCCUUUCUGUUGUUACAAGUUAUUUUGCAACUCAACUUGUAUUUUUCCUCACCCAUCCCUACCGUUUCACAUUUCUAUUUUUUUCCUCUCGCGUUCAUAAUGUCGUUUGUCGUUGUGAUACUUGUCUUAUAAUUAUUUUCGUUUUCUGAAUUUAUUUUUAUAUUAUUAACACGGCAAUCCCUUCAAACAUAGCUGGCCAGAGUGAGUACAAAAAGUGUAAUUACUGAUCCAGAAACAAAUAAAACAAGUUAAUGUCUUA